rnacentral:rRNA from 1 species
AUUGAACGCUGGCGGAAUGCUUUACACAUGCAAGUCGAACGGCAGCACGGACUUCGGUCUGGUGGCGAGUGGCGAACGGGUGAGUAAUACAUCGGAACGUGCCCAGUCGUGGGGGAUAACGUAGCGAAAGCUACGCCAAUACCGCAUACGAUCUAAGGAUGAAAGCGGGGGAUCGCAAGACCUCCCGCGAUUGGAGCGGCCGAUGGCAGAUUAGGUAGUUGGUGGGGUAAAGGCUCACCAAGCCGACGAUCUGUAGCUGGUCUGAGAGGACGACCAGCCACACUGGGACUGAGACACGGCCCAGACUCCUACGGGAGGCAGCAGUGGGGAAUUUUGGACAAUGGGCGCAAGCCUGAUCCAGCCAUUCCGCGUGCAGGAUGAAGGCCCUCGGGUUGUAAACUGCUUUUGUACGGAACGAAAAGGCUCUGGUUAAUACCUGGGGCUCAUGACGGUACCGUAAGAAUAAGCACCGGCUAACUACGUGCCAGCCGCCGCGGUAACAC